CCUACGGGCGGCAGCAGUGAGGAAUAUUGGUCAAUGGACGAGAGUCUGAACCAGCCAAGUAGCGUGAAGGAUGACUGCCCUAUGGGUUGUAAACUUCUUUUAUAUGGGAAUAAAAUGUACCAUGUGUGGGAUUUUGUAUGUACCAUAUGAAUAAGGAACGGCUAACUCCGUUCCAGCAGACUCGGUAAUACGGAGGAUCCGAGCGUUAUCCGGAUUUAUUGGGUUUAAAGGGAGCGUAGGUGGAUUGGUAAGUCAGUUGUGAAUGUUUGAAGCUCAACCGUAAAAUUGCAGUUGAGACUGGCAGUCUGGAGUACAGUAGAGGUGGGCGGAAUUCGUGGUGUAGCGGUGAAAUGCGUAGAUAUCCCGAAGAACUCCGAUUGCGAAGGCAGCUUCCUGGACUGAAACUGACGCUGAGGCUCGAAAGUGUGGGUAUCAAACAGGAUUAGAUACCCGUGUAGUC
rnacentral:rRNA from 1 species